rnacentral:rRNA from 1 species
AUGAACGCUAGCGACAGGCCUAACACAUGCAAGGUCGAGGGGCAGCGCGGAGCAAGCUUGCUUGUUCUGGCGGCGACCGGCGCACGGGUGCGUAACAGGUGUGCAAUCUGUCCAUAAUCGGGGAAUAGCCCAGCGAAAGUUGGAUUAAUGCUCCAUGUGAGCCGAGGAGGCAUCUCUUUGGUUUGAAACGUAAGGAUUAUGGGUGAGCACGCUUCUGAUUAGGUAGUUGGUGAGGUAACGGCUCACCAAGCCGACGAUCAGUAGGGGUUCUGAGAGGAAGGUCCCCCACAUUGGAACUGAGACACGGUCCAAACUCCUACGGGAGGCAGCAGUGAGGAAUAUUGGUCAAUGGACGCAAGUCUGAACCAGCCAAGUCGCGUGAAGGAUGAAGGUUCUAUGGAUUGUAAACUUCUUUUGUCUGAGGGUAAAAAAGCGGACGUGUCCGUUCUUGCAAGUAUCAGACGAAUAAGCAUCGGCUAACUCCGUG